rnacentral:rRNA from 1 species
GACAGAGGUGCCGAGCGUUAGGCGGAAUCACUGGGCUUAAAGCGUGUGUGGGCGGGCCGUUAAGUAUCUUGUGAAAUCCCCCGGCUCAACCGGGGAAUGGCUGGAUAUACUGGCGGUCUUGAGCGAUCUAGGGGCAGAUGGAACAAGUGGUGGAGCGGUGAAAUGCGUAGAUAUCACUUGGAACGCCAAAGGUGAAAACAGUCUGCUGGGGAUCUGCUGACGCUGAGACACGAAAGCCAGGGGAGCGAACGGG